GUUCCAGUAGAUAGAUCAGCUCUGGUUUGGGAACAGGAUGCCCUGUGCAUGGAGAAACAAAUGGAGUAUGGUGUACAGGGAAAGACAAAAAGAAAAGUCUGAGGUGUAAAGGAGUACAUAUAUUUAACAUACUGCAAUGAAACCCCAGAAAGGGCCCUCCCCUGCCUCACCAAAAGUAUUCCCUAAUUAACCUAAGUCAGUAGGAUUCAACCACCCUGUGCAUCAAAACUACCUAGCAACACCCAGUUCCAAAAACAGAACAAAUUAAACCAAAUCUCUGAGCAGAAGGACUGAGUGCUGGUAGUUUUUA
rnacentral:lncRNA from 10 species